GUUCAUAUAGUUUAAGGUUAAAAUAUAAAUUUUGUAAUUUUAUGAUGUGUGAUUUUUUACUAUGUUUA
rnacentral:tRNA from 1 species